UGUAAUAUUGUUCUUCUAGGCGCAGCAAGUUGAAGCCCCUCUUGGAACUCUGCAGUUGUUAUCCUUUAUCGAGUGCUCGGGGAAAACUGUGACCCAGUUGUAAAUGUAUUGUCUGUGGAUAUAAAAUGACUGUUGGAACCGAAAUCAAUAAUUGAUGCUGUGACAUCCCUGUGGAUUAUACAUAUUUCCAACUCUCCCGAGGACUUCAUAAGUUUCCUAAACGAAUCCGUAACUGCCGCACAACUGAUUCCGAAGACGUAGCAUCUUGCUAAAUUAUAUACCAGACUGGAGUAAGGUGGCGACGUGCUAAAUUAUCAAAGAGACAGUACCUCUCGAACGAUCACCGGCUAUGCAUUGGACUAUUGUCUUAGUAGCAACGGCUUGCGUCCAUAUAUCAUUAGCCGGUGCGCCGAUAAUUAGGAAAGCAUGGCAUUACGAUAAAGCUGCGCGAAUAAAGGCCCGUGAACAACGAGAGCUACCUCACACGUUUGUGAAGGCUGGUCUCUUGAGAGGCCUUCGAGGCCAAGCCAACUCUCGACCUGUUGACAUCUAUUUUGGAAUACCCUAUGCAGUGCCGCCGAUAGGCGCCCUUCGCUUUAAACAGCCUGUCCCAGUGAAGAAAUGGAAGGGGGUUCUCGACGCAACCCGGCCAGGUUCUCCGUGUUCGCAAAGAGAUUUGCAUGUUUCCCAUCAUUAUUCGCGAGACGCCGCGAACUCAAGUGAAGACUGCCUUCAUCUCAAUGUGUUCACCGCGGCUCGUUACUGCUUCUCGCAGAAUCUACUCCACUGCGGAGCUAAACCGGUGAUGGUGUUUUUGCACGGAGGCGGAUUUCAGAACGGCGCUAAUACGGACUUUGUGUACGAUUCGCGGUUCUUAGCUGUUAUGGGUGACGUCGUCGUAGUCAUUCCAAAUUAUCGACUCAACGUCUUCGGAUUCCUCAACGGGAACGUCACCGGCGAGGUACCCGGAAAUAUGGGCUUAUAUGACCAAAUGCUGGCGCUCGAAUGGGUCCAGAAAAAUAUCGCUUCAUUCGGCGGAGAUCCCCGUCGCAUAACCGUGUUCGGCCACGGCGCCGGUGCUGUUUCCAUUGGCUACCACCUAUUAUCACCUCUUAGUAAGGGUCUUUUUAAAAGGGCAAUCCUUCAGUCAGGUUCACCGUACUCAAAACUUCCAGACAACACGUUCACGGGCAAAAUGAAGGUCCAGCAGUUGGCUUUGGAGCUUGGCUGUGAUAAAUAUAUUGUUCGAGGGCAGGUCCUGGCAUACCCGCGGGAAGUUCUCAAAUGUCUACGUAAGGUGCCUGUAUCAACGCUCUACGCGGCGUCCGCGAAGCUCUUCGGCCCUGAGGACAACACGAUGAUUCCGAGUUACUUCAACGAGUUCCUUCCUCGAGAGCCUAUCGUUGCCGCAGAGCUGGACGGUUACGAGACCGAUGUAGAGGUUCUUCUUGGCACCGUUCGCGAUGAGGGUACCCUUCCAGUGAAUCAGUUUUUUUGGAAGAUGUUUGGCCUGGAUUCGUUCUUUGGCGUCCCCGUAUCGGAUAUAUGGUUCUAUGCGUCUCUAUUUUUUCAGUCUGUGCUGGGACGCAGUGUAGAAGCGGUCCGCGGUGCGUAUUCCUCAGAGAACGCCACUACACGAGAGGCGGUGGAGGCACUCGCAUCAGCUGUGGGUGACUUCGUAGUUGUGUGUCCCUCAGUGUAUUUUGCUGAUACCUACUCUCGAAGAGGAAAUAAGGUCUGGCUGUACCAGUUUGCCCAUCGACCCUCGUUCAGCGCAUCACCACUGUGGACCGGUGUGGCUCACGGCGAGGACGUCAGCUUCGGAUUGGGCUACCCACUUCUUUAUCCGAAGAUCUCAACCGAAGAUGAGAAGCUUCUGGCGAGACGAAUGAUCAGAAUCUACGCACAUUUUGCUCACACUGGGCACCACUGUAUAGCCGCGUUGUUAAUACAGUAUAACGGUGAGUACACUCGUACAGAUCAGUCGCCAGUGAUGCGAAAGCGAAACAAACGACUCGAAGCGUACGGUAUACUACAAGGCAAGCUUCCUCCCCAUACAACCGUCAACUAGUGCUCCACUUCCGGCGUCAUCAUAAAACAACUGCUCAAUCACAAUAACAAAAAAGCAGCUGCUGCUGCAGCAGCGGCAACAACAUCUAAACUGCAAUCGACAUAAGAGGCAAUUGUGUUCAAGAAUUAUUAACCUUUCACCUCCGCCUGCCGGAGUACCUACCUGCUAGCGUCGGCAGGACCCAGCCCCUUGUUACACGCACUCGAUGGAUGCGUGAUGGACAACAGCGUUGUGGAAAGUUCCCACGGCAACGACGCCAGCCGCCGCAGUAGUAAUAACAAUCAUGACAAAAAAGAACAACAGGGACAAUGUGACUAUUAACAUGACUGAUAGCAGUAAUUAAUUUCGUAACAAAAUUCAAAUAAGGAGACAGUACACGAGAUAAGGACGAAUAAUGAUAAGACCAUUUGACUGCUUGAGCUACGAGUUACCCUAGGCAAUGCGUAAUGGCAAAUUCGUGGGAGGAAGAGAUUUAACGUCCUACAUAGAGAUGCUGCCGAAGGUUGACGAAAAAGGAACUUCUUACUCCGUACGUGGUCGCGUCUGAGUCACGCACAAAACUAAACACAGUAGUAGGCAGUUGUGAUAGCCAUUUGUCAAAGCAAUGCGUUGUUGUUGUUAUAAAGAAGCGCACGUACUUAAGGUUCCUGAAAACCCCGUAGAAGUGACCUCAGUAAGGUUUAAGUUAAGUAUGGAGGUUCGUGAAAGUUGCACAGAAGGCUAUUUCUGUUAUUUUGCGAAAUUUUAUUAGAAAUCAGUGGAUGUUUUUGAUAUUCUAACUCGUUGCCAACUGGAUUCUUCGAAUUAGCGGCUAAAAAGGCAAAUUUUUUACAAACUUGUUUGCCUCUUACACUUCGUAUCUUUAGGACCUCUGGCCUGCUUUUUUCAAAUGGCUUAGACCCUGGAUUAAAGCAAUAAUCGAAGCGAACAGUAGUCACAUUCAGUAAACGCACCUAUGAGUGAUCUUUCUGUCGGCACAUGUAAAAAUCUGUUCUCAUUCCCUAUGCGUGUUGUGGGCGAGUCUUAAAGAGCGACACCGAGUCUUGUUCAAUAAGAGACCUAGCCAGUAAGGCCACCGGACCUUCGACUUCGAAUACGUUGCGUGUAGGGUUAUUCAUAUAGGUCACACACGUUGGUUAAAAAUUUCGUUCCAACAUCUUCGGGUGCUUUAUACAUUAAGGGCAUCAUCACAUACUACUAAUGCGGUUUUCGUCAUCUAACGUAGUUUUUUUUUGCAAUAGAUAAAAACGUAUAUCUAAGGCAUUGCUAAACUUCGGGGUAAUCAUGAUGCGGCCGCAAAUCAGCAUCAAGCAAUUAAACCUAUAACAAUCUCAUUUAUCACCCGUUGUAUAUGGACUUUUACAUCAGUUUGUAGCCCUUUUUCGUUAAUCACGGAUCCCAGGAUAGCCAGUUCAUACUUUAGCGGGUCCGCGCAGGCUUAUGCAUUCGCUAAAUAUCUAGAUAAUUGUAUAUAGUUUUUCAUGGUACUGAACGAAAACGACGUCAGUCACACUAGUUGGCAAAACAGUAUCACGGAUGAGUUAUCGUUCAUGAAUGACUGUUUUAAAAAAGCGAAGGAACACUGCCAAAAUCAUAAAUAAUAAUGGCUUUAAUACAGUUUCUUCGGUAGUCGGUUAAUAUAAUGUUCCAUUGGUCCGAAAUAGUUAAGUGGAUUACAGGUAAACUACCACAGUUAAAUCCAAUUUACUUACCCAUAAUUCAUUCAAUUUGCCGGGAAGUUCCCACCUUGUUACGUUGUUCUCAAAUUGCGAUUUACUAAAUGGCUAUAUGCCUCCGAGGUUUUCCUUUUUGCCAGUAAUUCCAAAACACUAUACUAGAACUGUCUCCUGCUUGCCCCAAUAUCUACGUGGGGCAAUAAUGAAAAAGAUAAUAAAAAAACCAUUUAUCUAAAUAGAGAGUGCCACACGCCCCGUAAUUUACAUUCGACAUAUCGAAGUGUCGAACAUGCAUGUCCUAUUUAAAAUUCUCCCAUUCUUCCAUACUGCAUUAAUAGUAAUCGCAACAAGUUUCGCUUUCGCUAUUUGCGCAAGCAUCCAAGUUCCGGAUUCCAAUAUACCAAAGUUCCAAGCAAGUUCCGGAUAUAGGCCACUGAUUACUAGUUUAUUACGUUGGGUGCCUAGACGAACCGAUGGGCAGCGAUUGUCACCCACAGAAGCGUGCAGGCCCCACUUCACUGACUAGUACCAUAUAUCUGGUGAUAAGCUCUGAAUACAGUAUUACUGAUAUAUUGCCUGUAGCCCUCAUCAACUACUAUAUCAAAUCACAUAUAUGGGAAUCUAUGUAUCUGCAAGUCCGAGAUAGCAUGGAUGAAGGCCUCCAAGUACAGGUCUGAUCAUAUAGUUCAGACAGUAUGCGGAUAACCCUCUACCACAGAUCAUACGCUAUACCUCGUGUGCUGCUAAGAGGAGCAGGUGGCUAGAGGAAAGGAAGACAAGUAUAUCUAUCAUGGCGGGAAACGAAAGGGGCAAAACAAUAAAACAUGUUAAGAAAAACGCAACGAAAACAUAUGAACAAAUAAAGAAAAAUCAUGCUGUUAAUAACGAUGACAAUACUGAGCAAUGUAUCCGUAAGACUCUUCACUGAUGAUGCAGUUGGAAUGUUUCUAUGGAAGAAAAAAGAAUCUCCUUCGGGACACAACGCCGCGACAUCAACAGGCCAAGCAUUGUGGCUACAGAUUUAUUGUUUAUAACCGCUAGUAAAAAAUCAUAAUUUAAUGUAAAUAUAGUUCGCAUAUGCAGCGCUCGUUGUCGCAAUCUUGCUUGACCUAACGCGUCGA